AUGCUCGCUUCGGCAGCACAUAUACUAAAAUUGGAAUGAUACAGAGAUUAGCAUGGCCCCUGCACAAGGAUGACACACAAAUUCGUGAAGAGUUUCAUAUUAAA
rnacentral:snRNA from 1 species